UACGAAGGGGGCUAGCGUUGCUCGGAAUUACUGGGCGUAAAGCGCACGUAGGCGGAUCUUUAAGUCGGGGGUGAAAUCCUGGAGCUCAACUCCAGAACUGCCUUCGAUACUGGCGAUCUUGAGUCCGGGAGAGGUGAGUGGAACUCCGAGUGUAGAGGUGAAAUUCGUAGAUAUUCGGAAGAACACCAGUGGCGAAGGCGGCUCACUGGCCCGGUACUGACGCUGAGGUGCGAAAGCGUGGGGAGCAAACAGG
rnacentral:rRNA from 1 species